UUUUAUUAGUACAUUUAUCUAAAUGGCUAAAUUAUAGAAAACCUUCUAUUAUUUUUCUUUUUCGACUUUCAAAAAUUUAUAAUUUAUCCUCUUAAAAUUUCAAAAUAUUUUCAGGGAGGUAUAACGUUAAUGGAUAGGGUAAAAUGACUAGAUUGUCAUUAAUUACUUCUUGUAAAAAAAAAUAAUUUUUUAAUAUAUUUUUGUCAUUUUGAAAGGUAUUUUCGAUAUAAAUUAUAUGAAAUGGACGGAAUAGUAAUGGAAUCUUGACGGAGGAAGGCUAAAUGCAAUAACUUGAAAUGUUGAAAGUAUAAAAUAUAGAUUUUUGAAAAGUUAGAAAGGGGAAGUGAAAAAGUGGGUAUUUAAGGGGAGUUUUCUGUAAUUAAAUAUUCGAUAAUACGUGGGGGAUUUAGUUUGAAAUUUUGAAACUUUUGAAGGACAUUUGC
rnacentral:lncRNA from 1 species